rnacentral:rRNA from 1 species
CACGUAGUUAGCCGUGACUGAUUCCUCGGGUACCGUCCUUCCUCUUCCCCAAGAAAAGGAGUUUACAAUCCAAAAGACCUUCAUCCUCCACGCGGCGUUGCUGCGUCGGGGUUGCCCCCAUUGCGCAAUAUUCCUCACUGCUGCCCCCGUAGGAGUCGGGACCGUUUCUCAGUUCCCGUGUGGCUGAUCGUCCUCUCAGACCAGCUACCGAUCUCAGCCUUGGUGAGCCAUUACCUCACCAACUAGCUAAUCGGACGCAGGCCCCUCUGGAAGCGCCUGAGCUUUACCUAUCGGUGUUCCCACACCCAUAGGACCAUGCGGUAUUAGCCACCGUUUCCAGUGGUUAUCCCCCUCUUCCAGGCAGGUUACCUACGUGUUACUCACCCGUCCGCCACUUUCAAGAAUACAAGUAUUCUCUCACGUUCGACUUGCAUGUGUUAGGCACGCCGCCAGCGUUCAUCCUGAGCCAGGAUCAAACUC